GAUGAAGAACGCAGCGAAAUGCGAUAAGUAGUGUGAAUUGCAGAAUUACGUGAAUCAUCGAAUCUUUGAACGCAAAUUGCACUCUCUGGUAUUCCGGGGAGUAUGCCUGUUUGAGGGUCGCUUAAUAAACAUCGAUUUUCAUUGCUUUUUUUUUAAAGCGAUGUUUAUCGGAUUUGAGCCGUCUUUUUAUAUAUAUAUAUUAUUUAAAAAGUGGCUUAAAAUUGAUUUUUCUGGUAUGAUCGGAAGCGUAUUUUUAUGAUCAAUUUUUGGUUAAGGAAACGCAGACGUACCAAUCAUUCAUAUGAUGUAAUACGUUGACUAUUGGAUUUAGUUCAUUCGUAUACGAUAUUUUUCAAAUUUUGACCUCAAAUCAGGUAAGAACACCCGCUGAACUUAAGCAUAUCAAUAAGCGGAGGA
rnacentral:misc_RNA from 1 species